UACGUAGGAUGCAAGCGUUGUCCGGAUUUACUGGGCGUAAAGCGCGCGCAGGCGGCACUCUAAGUACGUCGUGAAAUAUCCCGGCUCAACCGGGAGGGUGCGAUGUAGACUAGGGAGCUAGAGGUCGGUAGAGGGGGGUGGAAUUGCUGGUGUAGCGGUGAGAUGCGUAGAGAUCAGCAGGAACACCCGUGGCGAAGGCGGCCCCCUGGGCCGUACCUGACGCUGAGGCGCGAAGGCUAGGGGAGCGAACGGG
rnacentral:rRNA from 1 species